GGCAGUGUGGUGCAGUGGUUUGAGCGUUGGGCUAGGAGGACUCUGGGAGACCAGGGUUCGAAUCCUCGCCCAGCCA